GGGGAAUAUUGGACAAUGGGCGAAAGCCUGAUCCAGCCAUGCCGCGUGUGUGAAGAAGGUCUUCGGAUUGUAAAGCACUUUAAGUUGGGAGGAAGGGUUGUAGAUUAAUACUCUGCAAUUUUGACGUUACCGACAGAAUAAGCACCGGCUAACUUCGUGCCAGCAGCCGCGGUAAUACGAAGGGUGCAAGCGUUAAUCGGAAUUACUGGGCGUAAAGCGUGCGCAGGCGGUUUUGUAAGACAGUGGUGAAAUCCCCGGGCUCAACCUGGGAACUGCCAUUGUGACUGCAAGGCUGGAGUGCGGCAGAGGGGGAUGGAAUUCCGCGUGUAGCAGUGAAAUGCGUAGAUAUAGCAAGGAUCACCAGUGGCGACGGCGACCACCUGGGCUGAUACUGACACUGAGGUGCGAAAGCGUGGGGAGCAAACA
rnacentral:rRNA from 1 species